GCCCAUGUAGCUCAAAUGGAUAAAGCGUCUCUCUUGCGAAGUGAAAGAUGUGGGUUCGAGUCCCACCAAGGGCA
rnacentral:tRNA from 1 species